rnacentral:rRNA from 1 species
CUAAGAAUAUUCCGCAAUGGACGGAAGUCUGACGGAGCGACGCCGCGUGGAUGAAGAAGGCCGAAAGGUGUAAAGUUCUUUUGCUGGGGAAGAAUAACCGCAGGAGGGAAUGCCUGUGGGAUGACAAGAACCGGCGAAUAAGCCCCGGCCAACUACGUGCCAGCAGCCGCGGUAACACGUAGGGGGCGAGCGUUGUUCGGAAUUACUGGGCGUAAAGGGCAUGUAGGCGGCUUGGAAAGCCUGGCGUGAAAGUCUGCAGCUUAACUGCAGGGGUGCGCUGGGAACUGCUGAGCUUGAGUGACGGAGAGGGAGCUGGAAUUCCUGGUGUAGGGGUGAAAUCUGUAGAUAUCAGGAAGAACACCGAUGGCGAAGGCAAGCUCCUGGCCGAUGACUGACGCUGAGGUGCGAAAGUGUGGGGAUCAAACAGGAUUAGGAUACCCUGGUAGUCCACACAGUCAACGAUGUGCACUAGGUGCUGGGGCGGUAGCUUCGGUGCCGGAGCGAACGUGGUAAGUGCA